ACUGCCUCUAGAGGCGUUGCAGACGUGGCUGCUGUGUCACAUUUGUGUCAUUAGGUGGCAGCGGCUAUGUCUAUGCUCAGUGUUCUGCCCUGUGAAUGUUCGAAUGUUUAAUAGUCUGACACU
ensembl:snoRNA